CCUACGGGUGGCAGCAGUGGGGAAUAUUGGACAAUGGGGGGAACCCUGAUCCAGCGACGCCGCGUGAGUGAAGAAGUAUUUCGGUAUGUAAAGCUCUAUCAGCAGGGAAGAAAAUGACGGUACCUGACUAAGAAGCCCCGUCUAACUACGUGCCAGCAGCCGUGGUAAUACGUAGGGGGCAAGCGUUAUCCGGAUUUACUGGGUGUAAGGGGAGCGUAGAGGGUGCAGCAAGUCUGAUGUGAAAGGUCGGGGCCCAAACCCGGGACUGCAGUGGAAACUGUGGAACUGGAGUACAGGAGAGGUAAGCGGAAUUCGUGGUGUAGCGGUGAAAUGCGUAGAUAUUAGGAGGAACCCCAGUGGCGAAGGCGGCUUACUGGACUGUAACUGACGUUGAGGCUCGAAAGCGUGGGGAGCGAACAGGAUUAGAUACCCGUGUAGUC
rnacentral:rRNA from 1 species